UAGGGAAUCUUCCACAAUGGACGCAAGUCUGAUGGAGCAACGCCGCGUGAGUGAAGAAGGUUUUCGGAUCGUAAAGCUCUGUUGUUGGUGAAGAAGGAUAGAGGCAGUAACUGGUCUCUAUUUGACGGUAAUCAACCAGAAAGUCACGGCUAACUACGUGCCAGCAGCCGCGGUAAUACGUAGGUGGCAAGCGUUGUCCGGAUUUAUUGGGCGUAAAGCGAGCGCAGGCGGAAUGAUAAGUCUGAUGUGAAAGCCCACGGCUCAACCGGGGAACUGCAUCGGAAACUGUCAUUCUUGAGUGCAGAAGAGGAGAGUGGAAUUCCAUGUGUAGCGGUGGAAUGCGUAGAUAUAUGGAAGAACACCAGUGGCGAAGGCGGCUCUCUGGUCUGCAACUGACGCUGAGGCUCGAAAGCAUGGGUAGCGAACAGG
rnacentral:rRNA from 1 species